AACAGCGACAGAAGAGUACAUCAUCAACAAUGAUUCUUAAGUUGGCUCUGUUCGUCACGCUGAAGACCUACUGGAUAUCCUAAAGCAGUUUGAACCGCUGCCUACGCCCAGACAGGAUCCCUGUCGUGAUUUUCCGCAUCUCUGUCUUUCGCAUAUCCUUCCUAUGGAUCCGCAGAAAUAGGAAUAUGUAAUAUCAAUGAAAUGCGCUCAUCCGAAAUAAAAAAUAUCCGAAAUAAAAAA